UGAGGUCAGGCAAGACCCCCGCCUGAACUA
rnacentral:rRNA from 1 species